rnacentral:tRNA from 2 species
CCGGGAUUAGCGCAGUUGGUAGCGCGGGUGGUUUGGGACCAUCAGGCCGGGAGUUCGAGUCUCCCAUCUCGGACCA